GACGAACGCUGGCGGCGUGCCUAACACAUGCAAGUCGAGCGGGGUUGAGGCGAGAGGUAACUCGAGCUUCUACCUAGCGGCGGACGGGUGAGUAACGCGUGGGCAACCUGCCUCAAGGUUUGGGAUAACAGCCCGAAAGGGCUGCUAAUACCGGAUAUGCCUAUGGCCUCGCAUGGGGCUAUGAGCAAAGGGGAAACCCGCCUUGAGAUGGGCCCGCGUCCCAUCAGCUAGUUGGUGAGGUAACAGCUCACCAAGGCGACGACGGGUAGCCGGCCUGAGAGGGUGACCGGCCACACUGGGACUGAGACACGGCCCAGACUCCUACGGGGGGCAGCAGUGGGGAUCUUGCACAAUGGGCGAAAGCCUGAUGCAGCGACGCCGCGUGAGCGAAGAAGGCCUUCGGUGUAAAGCUCUGUCUGGAGGGACGAACAAAUGACGUACCUCCGGAGGAAGCCACGGCUAACUACGUGCCAGCAGCCGCGGUAAUCUGUGUCGUCG
rnacentral:rRNA from 1 species